UUCUUUUCUCAGCUAAAUUUUCAUCUAAGUUGGUAUGUUGAAGAAGCAAUUAAGUUAUUGAUAUUGAAAGAGGUGCUUCAAAAACUAGCAGUCACCUUUCUUUUCUCCACAAACUUCUUCCAUGAAAUUGAAGGUGCUGCAGUCAAGGAUGCCGGUGCAGGUUUCUUACCCACAUGAAAGAGAAGCAGUCAGAAGCCAAACCGUGAAAAUUUAGAUUUGUCCUUUGUCUUCUGGGAUUGUGAUAGCAAUAGGAAAGCAUCCAGAAAAUCGGAUGGCGAGUUGAAGCAAAGUGAGUAACAGCUAAG
rnacentral:lncRNA from 1 species